rnacentral:misc_RNA from 1 species
AGGUAUUUUUUAUUUUUAACGCAUUGCAAACACAGUGGAAUUAAUCUAUUUCCCUUUUCUCUUUGUGAAUAGACACAAGUACUUUGUUUAUUAGCAAUUAGCAGUUCCAUGGCCAUGAAUCAUGCUAGUCUCCCCCCUCUUUUGGGAUUUUUUUGGUUUGGGUGAAGAAAUGAACAAUAACAACACAAUCAAGGAAAAAUAACGAUGGGAUUGAACUUUAAGACCUUUUGAUUUCUAAGGAACUAGCUUUGGGUAGUUUACCACUAGAUUAAGGUCUUAUUGGAUACUAAUUGGACAUGUUUGGUUCACUUAGAAACGGAAUGGAAAUGAAAAACAAAAAUUUUGCUUGGAUCUCCUAGUCUGGUCAUACUCUAAUUUUAAUAUUAAAUUUAAUGAAAAUCUUAAAAAAUUAUUAUUAUACUUAAAUGUCAUUUUCACCUAAAUUUAAGUUAUUCUAAUAUAAAAAUUUUGUAAAAUGUCUAAAGUUGCUGUGUACCGAAUAAUAAGAAAAUGGAAUGUUGUUACAAGGACUGCAUUUCAUUAUCAUUUCUAACCAAAAGCUACUUUGUUUUGAUGGAGCCCCUGAUUACUCUCUCCAUUUAUGACUGCUAUUUUUCUGGAAAUUAGCUUUUGUUCAAAUAAAUUCAAGACUUAGCCCUCAACUAUUGGUGGUGCUAUGCAAGUACACAACAGAAGAUCUCUUUAUACAUCUUCUCCUCAACAUAUUUAUCACACGGUAUUAUUGUUUCUUUUGAAAUCUUCAACAUUUCUCAUGUUAUGUGAAAACUCAUAGGCAUUAGGCAGUCAACAUUUCCACUGAUAUUAGUUUUUGGAUGAACAUGGUCUUAUAAAAAGCCUUUUGCUUUGCUAUUAUAUGAAGUGAUUUUGUUCAUAUGUGAACAAAUGCAGUUGUUGUUAUUUUUCUGAUAA